UACGGAGGGAGCUAGCGUUGUUCGGAAUUACUGGGCGUAAAGCGCACGUAGGCGGCGAUUCAAGUCAGAGGUGAAAGCCCGGGGCUCAACCCCGGAACUGCCUUUGAAACUAGAUUGCUAGAAUCUUGGAGAGGCGAGUGGAAUUCCGAGUGUAGAGGUGAAAUUCGUAGAUAUUCGGAAGAACACCAGUGGCGAAGGCGACUCGCUGGACAAGUAUUGACGCUGAGGUGCGAAAGCGUGGGGAGCAAACAGGG
rnacentral:rRNA from 1 species